GAUGAACGCUGGCGGCGUGCCUAAUACAUGCAAGUCGAGCGAACAGACGAGGAGCUUACUCCUCUGACGUUAGCGGCGGCCGGGUGAGUAACACGUGGAUAACCUACCUAUAAGACUGGGAUAACUUCGGGAAACCGUAGCUAAUACCGGAUAACAUGUUGAACCGCAUGGUUCAAAAGUGAAAGACGGUCUUGCUGUCACUUAUAGAUGGAUCCGCGCCGCAUUAGCUAGUUGGUAAGGUAACGGCUUACCAAGGCAACGAUGCGUAGCCGACCUGAGAGGGUGAUCGGCCACACUGGAACUGAGACACGGUCCAGACUCCUACGGGAGGCAGCAGUAGGGAAUCUUCCGCAAUGGGCGAAAGCCUGACGGAGCAACGCCGCGUGAGUGAAGAAGGUCUUCGGAUCGUAAAACUCUGUUAUUAGGGAAGAACAAAUGUGUAAGUAACUAUGCACGUCUUGACGGUACCUAAUCAGAAAGCCACGGCUAACUACGUG
rnacentral:rRNA from 1 species